rnacentral:rRNA from 1 species
GGGUGAGUAACACGUGGAUAACCUACCUAUAAGACUGGGAUAACUUCGGGAAACCGGAGCUAAUACCGGAUAAUAUCUUGAACCGCAUGGUUCAAAAGUGAAAGACGGUCUUGCUGUCACUUAUAGAUGGAUCCGCGCUGCAUUAGCUAGUUGGUAAGGUAACGGCUUACCAAGGCAACGAUGCAUAGCCGACCUGAGAGGGUGAUCGGCCACACUGGAACUGAGACACGGUCCAG